UACGUAGGCAGCAAGCGUUGUUCGGAGUUACUGGGCGUAAAGGGUGUGUAGGCGGUUGUUUAAGUUUGGUGUGAAAUCUCCCCGCUCAACCGGGAGGGUGCGCCGAAUACUGAAUGACUAGAGUGCGGGAGAGGAAAGUGGAAUUCCUGGUGUAGCGGUGAAAUGCGUAGAUAUCAGGAGGAACACCGGUGGUGUAGACGGCUUUCUGGACCGUAACUGACGCUGAGACACGAAAGCGUGGGUAGCAAACAGG
rnacentral:rRNA from 1 species